rnacentral:rRNA from 1 species
AUUGAACGCUGGCGGCAUGCCUUACACAUGCAAGUCGAACGGCAGCAUGAUCUAGCUUGCUAGAUUGAUGGCGAGUGGCGAACGGGUGAGUAAUACAUCGGAACGUGCCCUGUAGUGGGGGAUAACUAGUCGAAAGAUUAGCUAAUACCGCAUACGACCUGAGGGUGAAAGUGGGGGACCGCAAGGCCUCAUGCUAUAGGAGCGGCCGAUGUCUGAUUAGCUAGUUGGUGAGGUAAAGGCUCACCAAGUCGACGAUCAGUAGCUGGUCUGAGAGGACGAUCAGCCACACUGGGACUGAGACACGGCCCAGACUCCUACGGGAGGCAGCAGUGGGGAAUUUUGGACAAUGGGCGAAAGCCUGAUCCAGCAAUGCCGCGUGUGUGAAGAAGGCCUUCGGGUUGUAAAGCACUUUUGUCCGGAAAGAAAUGGCUCUGGUUAAUACCUGGGGUCGAUGACGGUACCGGAAGAAUAAGGACCGGCUAACUACGUG